GACGAACGCUGGCGGCGUGCCUAAUACAUGCCAGUAGGACGCAGGUGCGAACGGGUGAGUAACGCGUAGGUAACUACCUAUUAGUGGGGGCUAACUAUUGGAUACGAUAGCCAAUACCGCAUACUUGUAGAUGGACAUACUUUGUAUUAGUUAGUUGGUAGGGUAAUGGUCUACCUAGGCAACGAUACAUAGCCGACCUGAGAGGAGGAUCGGCCACACUAGUACUGAGACACGGCCCAGACUCCUACGGGAGGCAGCAGUAGGGAAGCUUCGGCAAUGAGGGGAACCCUGACCGAGCAACGCCGCGUGAGUGAAGAAGGUUUUCGGAUCGUAAAGCUCUGUUGUUAAGGAAGCGGUACUUAACCAGAAAGGGACGGCUAACUACGUGCCAACAGACGCGGUAAUUC
rnacentral:rRNA from 1 species